rnacentral:rRNA from 1 species
UACGUAGGGGGCGAGCGUUGUCCGGAUUUAUUGGGCGUAAAGAGCUCGUAGGCGGUUUGGCAAGUCGGGUGUGAAAACUCCGGCUCAACUCGGAGACGCCACUCGAUACUGCUAUGACUCGAGUCCGGUAGGGGAGUGCGGAAUUCCUGGUGUAGCGGUGAAAUGCGCAGAGUAUCAGGAGGAACACCGGUGGCGAAGGCGGGAUCUCGUGGGCCGAAGUGACUGACGCUGGACGGAGCGAAAGCGUGGGGAGGCGAACAGGA